GGAUGAAGAGCGUUUACCGGUCGGAUUUGGAGAUGAAGAGACUGGCACUGGCCGAC
rnacentral:misc_RNA from 1 species